rnacentral:rRNA from 1 species
CGUAGGUGAACCUGCGGAAGGAUCAUUGUCGAAACCUGCCUAGCAGAACGACCUGUGAAUUUGUGAACGUUUUGGGGGGCGAGGGUUGUGCUUGUGCAGCUGUCGUCUCCCCUUGUCGGGAAGCAUGUGCGUGCCACAACCUCCUUUGCAGGGGAGUGUGGUUCAUGCAAGCUCUCCUCGAUCGGACAAUGAACCCCGGGGCGAAAUCGCCCCAAGGAACUUAACGUAGACCUUGCUUCCUUUGACCUGAAAACAGUGUGCGUGGGAAGUAGUGUUGUCUUUUGUAACCAAUAACGACUCUCGGCAACGGAUAUCUUGGCUCUCGCAUCGAUGAAGAACGUAGCGAAAUGCGAUACUUGGUGUGAAUUGCAGAAUCCCGUGAACCAUCGAGUCUUUGAACGCAAGUUGCGCCCAAAGCCAUUAGGCCGAGGGCACGUCUGCCUGGGCGUCACACAACGUUGCCCCCCAAACACACAUAAUGUGAUGUAGGGGGUAGAUAUUGGCCUCCCGUGUGCAGCAAUGCUUGCGGUUGGCCAAAAAACGAGUCCAUGGUGGCGAGCGCCACGACAAGCGGUGGUUGAGAGACCUUCUAGAUCUAGUCGUACGCGUUCGUCGACCAAUGGGAGCUCUUUUACCCAAUUGCAUUAUCUCGAUGAUGCUUUAGUAGCGACCCCAGGUCAGGCGGGGCUACCCGCUGAGUUUAAGCAUAUCA